AAUGAUUACAAUACCGUUAAUUUGCGUCUCCUCGCUUUUUAAUAAAUGUUCGAUCAAAUAUAUAUAAGUCUGGACAACCUGAAAAGAAACAGAAAUAAAGAAAAUUUUAUAAAGGCGCAUAACUAUCAAAAUCAACCAUUUACAGAAUUGGAAAAGCAUUGAAAAAAAUGCAAGCUGUUGGAGUUACAAAAAUGAAUUACCUUCCAAAACGGGUAACAACAAACCGUCUUGAUUCCAAUGUGGAAACACCAACAUUUUCGCACUGACGUCAUUUCCGAUAGAGUCACGUGUGCUGGGGGGAAGUGACGUAAGAUCUACUGAUUGAAGGUUAAAUCCGAGACGUUCUAGAAGCUCGGCGGCGCCUGUGAGUAUGCCAAGAAAAAAGGCAAUGACGUCAUCAUCACGUGACAAGUGACCACUCAAGCGUGAAAUUAAAGAUUGGAGCUCGAAAAG